UUGCACUUGCGUCGGGGUUUUGAUAAAGUGGCACAUGUAUUUCCAGUUUUUGUGUUGAUGGACUGACUUUGUUUUUCUCAUAAUUUGAAGUAACACAUUUUGUUAUAGAGUUCCUUAGAAUUAGUUAUCCGAAAUCUUCAAAUACAUAUUCACUUGAAAAUAAUAGUUCAACCGUCACUACUUUUAACUUACUUUAAGGAAAUAAGUGAAAGACUCUUUGACUUCAAAUUUUGUCAUCUGCCAUAUAACAAAAUGGGUUAUUUGAAAUCAUGAGAAAAACAAAGACAGUCCAUCAACACAAAACAGUUGGCAAUGCAUGUGGCACUUCAUCAAAACCCCGAUGCAGGCGCAAUGGAUGUAUACCUAAACCUUUGUUUUGACUUGUUGAAAGUUUUGGUGGUGGAAUAAACUAACCAGAAACUCUUUCAAGACUUUUCGAGAUGGAGCUCAUGUCAAACUCAAAGCCAAUCCACACUUCGUAUAGACUGUGUAUUAUCAUUGUUGUUUUUUUAUGUCUAUAGUCUAUACGAGAUUGUAUUAUGCUUAUCUAUAAUAACACUCUUGUGUGAAAGAUGAUUGGUUUAGUAUGAUGUUUUUUUUUUUUUGGAAAAAUUAACUAUGCUGAUAAAUAACUAUAUAUCAAUUUGCAUGUUACUUUUGAGGCA